CAAGAGAUAGUUUAAAUAAAAUAUUAAUUUUGGAUAUUAAAGAAGUAUAUUUUCUCUCUUGA
rnacentral:tRNA from 1 species